rnacentral:rRNA from 1 species
AUUGAACGCUGGCGGCAGGCUUAACACAUGCAAGUCGAGCGGGGUGAUGGUGCUUGCACUAUCACUUAGCGGCGGACGGGUGAGUAAUGCUUAGGAAUCCGCCUAUUAGUGGGGGACAACAUCUCGAAAGGGAUGCUAAUACCGCAUACGUCCUACGGGAGAAAGCAGGGGAUCACUUGUGACCUUGCGGUAAUAGAUGAGCCUAAGUCGGAUUAGCUAGUUGGUGGGGUAAAGGCCUACCAAGGGGACGAUCUGUAGCGGGUCUGAGAGGAUGAUCCGCCACACUGGGAGUGAGACACGGCCCAGACUCCUACGGGACGCAGCAGUGGGGAAUAUUGGACAAUGGGGGGAACCCUGAUCCAGCCAUGCCGCGUGUGUGAAGAAGGCCUUAUGGUUGUAAAGCACUUUAAGCGAGGAGGGGGCUCUUUUGGUCAAUACCCAAGAUGAGUGGACGUUACUCGCAGAAUAAGCACCGGCUAACUCUGUGCCAGCCGCCGCCGUAA